GGAUUAAGAGCUUGCUCUUAUGAAGUUAGCGGCGGACGGGUGAGUAACACGUGGGUAACCUGCCCAUAAGACUGGGAUAACUCCGGGAAACCGGGGCUAAUACCGGAUAACAUUUUGAACCGCAUGGUUCGAAAUUGAAAGGCGGCUUCGGCUGUCACUUAUGGAUGGACCCGCGUCGCAUUAGCUAGUUGGUGAGGUAACGGCUCACCAAGGCAACGAUGCGUAGCCGACCUGAGAGGGUGAUCGGCCACACUGGGACUGAGACACGGCCCAGACUCCUACGGGAG
rnacentral:rRNA from 1 species